ACCUGCUGGGUUCUUUUUUUUCUUCUAGUCUCGUCCCAUUUGGCGCACCGAGAGAUCUACCAGGUGGUAUCGACCUGAUGUCAGACAGAAAAACAUCAGGGACAGACUGAUAUUCUGCAAAAGGUACGGGGAUUGGACUGCUGGGGACUGGGGUAAAGUCCUUUUCUCGGAUGAUUCCCCUUUCUGAUUGUUUGGGGCAUCCGGAAAAAAGCUUGUCCAGAGAAGACAAGGUGAGCGCUACCAUCAGUCCUGUGUCAUGCCAACAGUAAAGCAUCCUGAGACCAUUCAUGUGUGGGUUUGCUUCAUAGACAAGGGAGUGGGCUCACUCAAAAUUGUUCCUAAGAACACAACCAUGAAUAAAGAAUUGUUCCAACACAUCCUCAUCUCCCAACCAUCCAGGAACAGUUUGGUGACGAACAAUGUAUUUUCCAGCAUGAUGGAGCACCUUGCCAUAAGGCAAAAGUGAUGACUAAGUGGCUGGGGGAACAAAACAUUAAUAUGGGUGGUCAGGAAACUCCCCAGACCUUAAUCCCAUUGAGAACUUGUGGUCAAUCCUCAAGAGGUGGGUGGACAAACAAAAACCCACAAAUUCUGACAAACUCCAAGAAUUGAUUAUGCAAGAAUGGUCUGCCAUCAGUCAGGAUGUGGCCCUGAAGUUAAUUGACAGUGUCACGUCCUGACCUUAGUUCCUUUUUAUGUCUCUAUUUUAGUUUGGUCAGGGUGUGAGUUGGGGUGGAUAUUCUGUUUGUUCUGUGUGUUAUAGUUCUAAGUGUUUGGCCUGGUAUGCUUCCCAAUCAGAGGCAGCUGUCAAUCGUUGUCUCUGAUUGAGAACCAUACUCAGGUAGUCUGUUCCCACCUGGUGUUUGUGGGUAGUUGUUUUUGUGUAUUUGUGUUUUCACCAUAAAGAACUGUUUCGAUUUUCAUUUCUUUCCCUCACUUUGUUAUUUUGUAUUUUUCGUGUUCUGAUAUAAUAACUUGAACAUGGACACGUACCACGCUGCAUUUUGGUCCAAUCCUUCCUACUCCUCAUCAGACGAAGAAGAAGUUAGUUACAGACAGCAUGCCGGGGUGGAUUGCAGAGGACAGGGUCAACACGGCAAAUAUUGACUCUGGGCAUCAACUUCAUGUAAUUGUCAAUAAAAGCCUUUGACACUUAUGAAAUGCUGGUAAUUAUACGUCAGUAUUCCAUAGUAACGUCUAAAGACACUGAAGCAGCAGACUUUGUGAACAUUAAUAUUUGUGUCAUUCUCAACACUUUUGGCCACGACCGUUUUUUUUUAUCCAGUUACUUUCAAAGAGGGAAAAUGGGGGAUAAAAAUAUAUUUUUAUUUCCUUAUUAGAGGAGAUGAAAUAAAAGUCGAUAGCACUAAUUAGGCUGUCUUCCUAUGGGCGAUGUGCUAAAUAUCCCUGUGUGUGUGUGUGUGCGUGUGUGUGUGUGUGUGUGUGUGUGUGUGUGUGUGUGUGUGUGUGUGUGUGUGUGUGUGUGUGUGUGUGUGUGUGUGUGUGUGUGUGUGUGUGUGUGUGUGUGUGUGUGUGUGUGUGUGUGUGUGUGUGUGUGUGUGUGUUCAUGGCAGUCUGUGUGUCUAUGUGUUAUAUAUCCCUCUUACAUGCUAAUGAGCAGCAAGCUCUCCCCAGUUCCACUCUCAUACUCAACGAGACCAAUAGCUACAGACUAGCUUUGAAAAUAAAACCCUGUGUGUGUCAUGUGUUUUGUUUGUAGAGUAAUAAUGCCUUCCAAUUAUAUAGUGCUUUUCCAAGUGCUCAAAUCACUUUGCAUUGUGUGUCGGUAAUAACCAUCCUCCAAUCAGAGUUGUCACUCACUACUCUACCUGUGCUAAUGUGUUAAGUGUGACAUUACAUUGCAGUUGGCUGUGCUGCCAAGGCCAAUGAAACAGUAUGGAUGCCAGUGGAGUCCUUAAUGAAAAUGUUAGAGGCCCUGGUCAUCCUGUCAGCCAGAUCUCAGAGAUGUUCGGCCUUACCUCAUCUCUGUCUCUGCUGUCAGGAAGUCAAGUGACACCUGUGGAUCCCAUGGAAGUGACACAUGAGGACACAUCCUGUUUUCACCAACCUCUCCACAUCCCACCAUGGGGGUGGUGGCUUGGGGUUGUGUGUGUGUGUGUGUGUGUGUGUUGGUCCCACCAUGGGGUGGUGGCUUGGAGUUCUGAGUGUGUGUCUGUUGGGUUCAAAUUUGCAGGACGCAGGAAUGCCUUACUCCUGCACCCCCUCCCUCCCAGAUUCUCUUGUGCAUGAAGGGGGUGGCAGUGGUCUGAUACUCCUUCCAUUUCAAUAUUAUCGCUUGCACAGUGCUCCUUGGGAUGUUUAAAGCUUGGGAAAUCUUUUUGUAUCCAAAUCCGGCUUUAAACUUCUUCACAAUAGUAUCUCGGACCUGCCUGGUGUGUUCCUUGUUCUUCAUGAUGCUCUCUGCGCUUUUAACGGACCUCUGAGACUAUCACGGUGCAGGUGCAUUUAUACGGAGACUUGAUUACACACAGUUGGAUUGUAUUUAUCAUCAUUAGUCAUUUAGGUCAACAUUGGAUCAUUCAGAGAUCCUCACUGAACUUCUGGAGAGAGUUUGCUGCACUGAAAGUAAAGGGGCUAAAUAAUUUUGCACGCCCAAUUUUUCAGUUUUUGAUUUGUUAAAAAAGUUUGAAAUAUCCAAUAAAUGUCGUUCCACUUCA